UACGUAGGUGGCAAGCGUUGUCCGGAUUUACUGGGCGUAAAGAGCGCGCAGGCGGUCGUUCAAGUCGCGUGUGAAAGCCCCCGGCUCAACUGGGGAGGGUCACGCGAUACUGAUCGACUCGAAGGCAGGAGAGGGUAGCGGAAUUCCCGGUGUAGUGGUGAAAUGCGUAGAUAUCGGGAGGAACACCAGUGGCGAAGGCGACUACCUGGCCUGUUCUUGACGCUGAGGCGCGAAAGCUAGGGAGCAAACGGG
rnacentral:rRNA from 1 species